UGAUGCACCUCUUGUGGAACCCCAGAGAAGGUGGCUGGCUGCGUUUGGUGGGGCUGACUGACUGGUCUACAGCCAUGAAUGGGAAGUGCUCCUUGUGGCUCUUUCCUAUUUUGACAGUAUCUAUGCAAGGUAUUUUUCAGAAGAAGGAUAACUGGAACCAGGCCCUUCAGCUGCUAUGGACAUUUCUCUGAUCCUCCCUUGAGACUGUAAUUCUGUAUUAUGCUACACAGUUUGUUUUGUGCAGGGGUGGUUAUGGGCUUUUUGGGCCCUGCUUUGCCCUUCUCCUCCUAGAAGAAGAAGAUGGUGGUGAUGAAGAAGAUGGCAGUGGUCAGUGCUGGAGACAACAGCUCUUACUGAGCACCCUUCUUAGUCCUGCUGUGUCAAGUCCAGCCUGAUUCAAAGCAUCCAGUGCUUUCCUGUGUGUGCCGGACCCUCUGUGGAGUUAUAGCCUCCCUGGCAAGCUGACGUGUCGCUUCAGACCCAGCCCUCUGAUCCUCCACUCACAACACUUCCUCAGUCUCCAAACCAAGCAACGCCUGCUGCAGCCCCAGUGCGACCCGCAUCCAGCCGUCCCGCAUUGGCCUGUGAGUCAUUUACUGUGAAUGGGUGAAAUCCUACCAUCCACCAUUACGUCUUCGCAACCAACUUGGGAAAGAGAAUCAGGCAGCUCAGAGAGGAAAGCAAGCUCACCGAUGCAGGAAUCUCCUAUUCAGAAAUCUGUCUUCAGAAACACAGCUGAAAUAUGUAAAAAUUUCCAGCCAAGUUAAUUGCUUUUGGGAAGGUUCCCGAUUCAGCCUCUGGCAUCUCCUGUCCGAAAUUCUGGAGAGCCAGUUGGAGUAGACCGAACUGAGCUGGAAGGACCAAUGGUCUGACGUGGUAUAAGCAGAUAAAUGAAGCGUCCUGGGAUCUAUGAAAACACAGCGACAAAAAAACAAAAAACCCGAUACGGUAUCUUUGUAUCGGAUGAGAAUUUGCUUGAGUGAGAGAACAUUCCAGAUGGGUUUGUAAGAGAGAAAACUGUGGACCUUGAAGUAUGUGGACCAGUGUCAUUUCACCAGGACAAACUUCCACUUGAAAAAGACAUUUCAAAUCAGAGGUCUCCAUUGUGUGGACUUUUCUUAUGCAUUCUACCAUUCUCCACAACGUGGACUUUAUUAUUUCUCCCAUGUUAUACGAUUGUUUCUCCAGUAUCAUUUCUCACGGCUUUGUCUUGCUGUAGAUUGCAUAUAUUUUUAUUAUAGAUUUAUUGGACUAA